CAUUUCUGCUGACCAAGUUUGAAAUUGGUCGGAUUACACGCUUUAAUUUCUAAUAUAUCUCAUAUUUAAAAAGCAAGUUUGGGCGGGAAAUAUCGUAGUUUAGUCAGGUCACGUGUUCCAUUAUUGUUCCCAGUCGAUUGCAAAGUACAGUACCAUAAGAUCAGAAAGAUCGAGGUUUGAAGGGUCAGCUGGCAUAAGGAUGUAUAUUUUGGGCUCCUGGGGUGAAGGAUCUAGUGUCAAAUUAUCACUUCUCUCAUCAAGAGAAAUGACAAAGUGACUGAUGCAUGAAACCGUUUAAUUCCUUGGCCAGUGCGCAACAAAUGAAGGAUAUGAAGCUGGUUGCAGGGUUAGCCGUGCUGCGGCCGUGGGUUGCAGAGGCCAUGGAGAACUGCCCCAGUGCUUGUAAAUGCAGCCAGAAAUGACUGACGUCAGUUGUCAAAAGAAGGGGCUUGACUGCAUCCCUAAACUCCAUCUGGACACAUGGAUCUUUGAAAUUGCUAAGGAGAUACUGCUAACUUUUUUUGGGAAGACAUGGUCGUAAUACUAACCCUCAUAACGAAAUAUAAAGGAACAAGAAAAUAAAUAUAAUAAAUGAAACACUUAAUAAAUCAA